UGAGAGGUUGAACGGCCACAUUGGGACUGAGACACGGCCCAAACUCCUACGGGAGGCAGCAGUAGGGAAUUUUCGGCAAUGGAGGAAACUCUGACCGAGCAACGCCGCGUGAACGAUGAAGUAUUUCGGUACGUAAAGUUCUUUUAUUAGGGAAGAAUAAAUGAUGGAAAAAUCAUUCUGACGGUACCUAAUGAAUAAGCCCCGGCUAACUAUGUGCCAGCAGCCGCGGUAAUACAUAGGGGGCAAGCGUUAUCCGGAAUUAUUGGGCGUAAAGGGUGCGUAGGCGGUUAAAUAAGUUUAUGGUCUAAGUGCAAUGCUCAACAUUGUGAUGCUAUAAAAACUGUUUAGCUAGAGUAAGAUAGAGGCAAGUGGAAUUCCAUGUGUAGUG
rnacentral:rRNA from 1 species